AGCCCCUAACCCUUAUCCUGAAAUCCCAACCAACCAGGAGUCAGAAACUUUAUAACUGGAGUUUGGAAAGUAAAGUCCUCUGUUCCAGUCUAAAUUUAGUGCUGGCAAAAGUGGGGAGGGUAGAAUGAAAUUAGAAGAUAAGACUGAAACCAGGAGCUGCACCCACAUCUGUUGACAAGAGCACCAAGGUUAAUUGUUAGAAGACAGAAACUAUCCCUUUAGGAUCUGGACUCAAGGAUUGGGCUGAAGUACCAACACUGGCUUUGGUUGCUAACUCCCUGAAUUUAUAGGAAACAUGGUUGAGUUUACUAAACUCAACAUUUGGUUGAGUUUACUAAACUUUUAAGGAACUUGGGUUUCCAGAGAAACUGCAACACCCAUAAACUCAAGGCUGUGAUUGCUCAACUCCCAAGGCAGUACUCAGCCAGGAUCCUAAACCCACACUAACAGAAACAGCACCAGGAGAAGCCUAUGAAGACCAGGAAGUAAACACUCCCCAGUGCCUUUCUCAGCGAUGGCCAUAGAGGACAGAUGACUAGCAAAAUCCUGUUAGAAGACAGAUCCUGGAGUAGACAAAAGAGGUUCUCAAGAAAUUCACUCUAAAGCCAGAACAAGAGAUCGGUCUACUCCUGUCCUGCAAAUAGUAUAUUGUCUGCGCCCAGAUUUUCCCAAAGGAACGACUCUUAACUUUCAUUACAUGUGAAUAGGUGAAUCUGAUUUCACUUUGAGCUUCAGACAUAGCCAAUCAAAACAUUGUAAACCUCUGGCUUCAGUGAUCGAUUCUGGACAUCUGAACCAUCUGUUGAUAUCUAGGCCAGUGUUCUUGCCUGGAGAAUCCCAUGGACGGAGAAGCCUGGUAGGCUGCAGUCCAUGGGGUCGCACAGAGUUGGACACGACUGAAGCAACUUGGUGGCAGCAGCAGCAGCAGGCCAGUUAAAUCAAAAGAAACAAAACAGUUCUGGAGCUGGAGCCAGUGUUGACCAUGAGCCAUGAAGAUGAGGCCAACACUCUAGAGGAGGAAGAACAGCAAGGUAGAAGUAACCUGGAUCCCUAAGUGACUACCUGGAUUGGAGCCACCUACCUACCUGGGACAACCUGUGAGAAAUAAACUGUUUUAUGUAAAGCAUGGUA